rnacentral:rRNA from 1 species
GACGAACGCUGGCGGCGUGCCUAAUACAUGCAAGUCGAACGAGAGCGACCGGUGCUUGCACUGGUCAAUCUAGUGGCGAACGGGUGAGUAACACGUGGGUAACCUGCCCAUCAGAGGGGGAUAACAUUCGGAAACGGAUGCUAAAACCGCAUAGGUCUUCGAACCGCAUGGUUUGAAGAGGAAAAGAGGCGCAAGCUUCUGCUGAUGGAUGGACCCGCGGUGCAUUAGCUAGUUGGUGAGGUAACGGCUCACCAAGGCCGUGAUGCAUAGCCGACCUGAGAGGGUGAUCGGCCACAUUGGGACUGAGACACGGCCCAAACUCCUACGGGAGGCAGCAGUAGGGAAUCUUCCGCAAUGGACGCAAGUCUGACGGAGCAACGCCGCGUGAGUGAAGAAGGUUUUCGGAUCGUAAAACUCUGUUGUUAGAGAAGAACAAGUGCUAGAGUAACUGUUAGCGCCUUGACGGUAUCUAACCAGAAAGCCACGGCUAA